rnacentral:rRNA from 1 species
AUGAAGCCUCUGACGCGGAAGGAGUGGACGGCCAUCGGCGGCUACAACGCGUUCCUGGCGACCAAGCUGCCGCCGGAGCACCGCAUCUACGACCCGGACAAGGAGACGGUCGACUCCGGCAUGUCGACGUUCCUCACGGCGUUCCCCAGGGGCUUCGCCAUCGAGGUGCUCGACGUGUACAGCGGCCCGCCAAGGGUCACCUUCAAGUUCCGGCACUGGGGUUACAUGGAGGGGCCGUUCAAGGGGCACCCCCCACACGGCCAGCGCAUCGAGUUCUUUGGCGUCUGCAUUUUCCACGUUGACGAGGAGAUGAAGGUGGAGAAGGCGGAGUACUUCUACGAGCGCGGCAACUUCCUCGCAAGCUUCCUGAGCGCGCCUGCUGCUGCAUCGGCUUCGGGUUGCCCUGUGAUGAGAGGAAACUGA